rnacentral:rRNA from 1 species
CCUACGGGGGGCAGCAGUGAGGAAUAUUGGUCAAUGGGCGUAAGCCUGAACCAGCCAAAUCGCGUGAGGGAUGAAGGUUCUAUGGAUCGUAAACCUCUUUUAUAAGGGAAUAAAGUGUGGGACGGGUCCGAUUUUGUAUGUACCUUAUGAAUAAGGAUCGGCGAACUCCGUGCCAGCAGCCGCGGUAAUACGGAGGAUCCGAGCGUUAUCCGGAUUUAUUGGGGUUAAAGGGUGCGUAGGCGGCCUUUUAAGUCAGCGGUGAAAGUCUUGGGCUCAACCAUAGAAUUGCCGUUGAAACUGGCGGGCUUGAGUAUGUUUGAGGCAGGCGGAAUGCGUGGUGUAGCGGUGAAAUGCUUAGAUAUCACGCAGAACCCCGAUUGCGAAGGCAGCCUGCCAAGCCAUGACUGACGCUGAUGCACGAAAGCGUGGGGAUCAAACAGGAUUAGAUACCCCAGUAGUC